GAUGAACGCUGGCGGCGUGCUUAACACAUGCAAGUCGAACGGAAAGACGCCUGCUUGCCGGGGUACUCGAGUGGCGAAGGGGUGAGAAACACGUGGGGGAACUGCCCUGCACUUAGGGGUAAGCCUGGGGAACUGGGUCUCAUAUCGGGUAGGACGAAGUUAUGGAUGUGAUUGUGGAGAGAAUGUCGGUUUUGGAUUAGCUUGAGGCCUAUCAGCUUGUUGGUGGGGUAGUGGCUUACCAAAGCGGAGACGGGUAGCCGGCAUGAGAGGUGGUACGGCGACAUGGGGCCUGAGGGACGCCGCAGUCGCCAACGGGACGCAACGGUGGAGAACAUUGCGCAACGAGGGCGAGUCUGAUGCGGCGACGCCGCGUGGGGAAUGACCGCCUACGGGUUGUAAACUCCUUUCGAUAUAGCCGAAGAGCAAGUGACGGUACCUGGAGAAAAAGCACCGGCUAACUACGUG
rnacentral:rRNA from 1 species